rnacentral:rRNA from 1 species
CCUACGGGUGGCAGCAGUGAGGAAUAUUGGUCAAUGGCCGAGAGCCUGAACCAGCCAAGUCGCGUGAGGGAUGACGGACCUAUGGGUUGUAAACUUCUUUUAUCUGGGAGUAAAGUGCGGAACGUGUCCCGUCUCGUGUGUACCAUGUGAAUAAGCAUCGGCUAACUCCGUGCCAGCAGCCGCGGUAAUACGGAGGAUGCGAGCGUUAUCCGGAUUUAUUGGGUUUAAAGGGUGCGUAGGUGGUUGAUGAAGUCAGCGGUGAAAGUUUGUGGCUCAACCUUAAUAUUGCCGUUGAAACUGGUUGACUUGAGUAGAUUAGAGGUACGCGGAAUGCGUGGUGUAGCGGUGAAAUGCAUAGAUAUCACGCAGAACUCCGAUUGCGAAGGCAGCUUACUAGACUAUAACUGACACUGAAGCACGAAAGCGUGGGGAUCAAACAGGAUUAGAUACCCGAGUAGUC